GUGCCAGCAGCCGCGGUAAUACGUAGGGGGCAAGCGUUGUCCGGAAUCAUUGGGCGUAAAGAGCGUGUAGGCGGCCUGAUAAGUCGGCUGUGAAAGUCAAGGGCUCAACCCUUGAAUGCCGGCCGAUACUGUCAGGCUAGAAUCCGGAAGAGGCGAGUGGAAUUCCUGGUGUAGCGGUGAAAUGCGCAGAUAUCAGGAGGAACACCUAUGGCGAAGGCAGCUCGCUGGGACGGUAUUGACGCUGAGACGCGAAAGCGUGGGGAGCGAACAGGAUUAGAAACCCUCGUAGUCC
rnacentral:rRNA from 1 species